rnacentral:rRNA from 1 species
UACGGAGGGUGCAAGCGUUGUUCGGAAUUAUUGGGCGUAAAGGGCAGGUAGGUGGUCUUAAAAGUCUACUGUGAAAUCCCCGAGCUUAACUUGGGAAGUGCGGUAGAUACUCUAAGACUAGAGUGCUGGAGGGGUUCGUGGAAUUCCCGGUGUAGCGGUGAAAUGCGCAGAUAUCAGGAGGAACACCGGUGGCGAAGGCGGGUCUCUGGGCCGUAACUGACGCUGGAGGAGCGAAAGCGUGGGGAGCGAACAGG